AAUGUUCUGAGAUAUACGCAUGGUUUCUAUUUUGAACCUACGUAAUGAAUAAGGGAGCCCAAAAUGCCUGUCGGAUACCGGGCCCAUGGUAAGACCGUUCGUCGAAAGGGGAAGGUAGAAGGCAUGCUGCGGGCACCCACCUAUAGAGAGAUAGGUGUCAAAAUUGAAACGACGGUAUCUCAGAUCCACU
rnacentral:other from 1 species